rnacentral:rRNA from 1 species
GAUGAACGCUGGCGGCGUGCUUAACACAUGCAAGUCGAACGGACCAUAUUCGUAUGGUUAGUGGCAGACGGGUGCGUAACACGUAGGUGACCUGCCCUCGAGUGGGGAAUAACUCGACUAACGUCGAGCUAAUACCGCAUAGGUUCGCUCUUUCAUUAGGGUGAGUAAAGCAGCAAUGCGCUUGGGGAUGGGCCUGCGGCGGAUUAGGUAGUUGGUGGGGUAACGGCCUACCAAGCCGAUGAUCCGUAGGGGGCGUGAGAGCGUGGCCCCCCACAUUGGCGACUGAGACACGGGCCGAAACUACCUACCGGGAGGGCAG